UACAGAGGGUGCGAGCGUUAAUCGGAAUUACUGGGCGUAAAGCGUGCGUAGACGGUUAUCUAAGUCGGAUGUGAAAGCCCCGGGCUCAACCUGGGAAUUGCAUUCGAGACUGAAUAGCUAGGGUACGGUAGAGGGAAGUGGAAUUUCCGGUGUAGCUGGUGAAAUGCGUAGAUAUCGGGAGGAACACCAGUGGCGAAGGCGACUUCCUGGCCUGUUCUUGACGCUGAGGCGCGAAAGCUAGGGUAGCAAACGGG
rnacentral:rRNA from 1 species